GACGAACGCUGGCGGCGUGCUUAACACAUGCAAGUCGAACGGAAAGGCCCUGCUUUUGUGGGGUGCUCGAGUGGCGAACGGGUGAGUAACACGUGAGUAACCUGCCCUUGACUUUGGCAUAACUUCAGGAAACUGGGGCUAAUACCGGAUAGGAGCUCCUGCUGCAUGGUGGGGGUUGGAAAGUUUCGGCGGUUGGGGAUGGCCUCGCGGCUUAUCAGCUUGUUGGUGGGGUAGUGGCUUACCAAGGCUUUGACGGGUAGCCGGCCUGAGCGGGUGACCGGCCACAUUGGGACUGAGAUACGGCCCAGACUCCUACGGGAGGCAGCAGUGGGGAAUAUUGCACAAUGGGCGGAAGCCUGAUGCAGCAACGCCGCGUGCGGGAUGACGGCCUUCGGGUUGUAAACCGCUUUCGCCUGUGACGAAGCGUGAGUGACGGUAAUGGGUAAAGAAGCACCGGCUAACUACGUG
rnacentral:rRNA from 1 species